rnacentral:rRNA from 1 species
AGAGCGAACGCUGGCGGCAGGCUUAACACAUGCAAGUCGAGCGCCCCGCAAGGGGAGCGGCAGACGGGAGAGUAACACGUGGGAACGUACCUUUCGGUUCGGAACAACCCAGGGAAACUUGGGCUAAUACCGGAUACGUCCGUAAGGAGAAAGAUUUAUCGCCGAAAGAUCGGCCCGCGUCUGAUUAGCUAGUUGGUGAGGUAACGGCUCACCAAGGCGACGAUCAGUAGCUGGUCUGAGAGGAUGAUCAGCCUCACUGGGACUGAGACACGGCCCAGACUCCUACGGGAGGCAGCAGUGGGGAAUAUUGGACAAUGGGCGCAAGCCUGAUCCAGCCAUGCCGCGUGAGUGAUGACGGCCUUAGGGUUGUAAAGCUCUUUCGCACGCGACGAUAAUGACGGUAGCGUGAGAAGAAGCCCGGCUAACUUCGUGCCAGCAGCCGC